GUUUUUUCAUAUAUGUAACAACUAAAAUAGAAUAUGGGAAGAAAUGUGGUCUCUCAUCUGAUCUUGGAAGUGAAGCAGGGUUGGGCCUGGUUAGUACUUGGAUGGGAGACUGCCCAGGAAUACCAGGUGCUGUAAGCU
rnacentral:rRNA from 1 species